GACGGGGCGGUUGGGGAGGGGAGGAGCCUGGAGGAGAGAGGAAGAGGGGAGGAAGGGGGGGAAAGCCGCUGCUGGGGAGGGCUGGGCAGGAGCUCCCCGGGCCAGGGAACUGACUAGGUCUCAAACUGGGGGAGAGCCCAGGAAGGAACAGACCAGAAAGGGAAACCAUCAGCCUCCAGCCUGGGGAAGCGGGUUUGAGCCCAGAGAGCUUUCUGGCCCUGUACUUCCUCACUGGGAUCCGAUGGAGGCCAGACCACCUGCUCCUCUCUGCGGAGGAACCACAGCACCUGCUUGGCUGAUGGGAAAACUGCCACCUAGAAAGGUAAAGCGGUAUGUGCCAAGUCCUGCAGUCAGGAAAGGACUGAGCCAGGAUCCUGGGUUCGAACCACCCCUCUGUGCGGCUCGGAGAAGGGAAAGGUCCCUUCCUCAUCCUCUCUUGUGCAUCUCCACAGGAGCCUGUGCCCUGCCUCCUCAUUCCCUUACUUCCUCAAGGAUUUGGGAGUCUUGCGGAAAUGUGACUUCAGAUUGGUGAUGUCUCUGUCCUCCCAGCACCAGCGGGAGGGCGACUGGGCUCAGGGCUCUGGGGUCACAAGCGAAAGGACACAGCGUCGCGACUCAGCCUGUUUCUUCUAGCUGGGAAGAACCUGCUUUCCCAGUGGGGCAGGAUCCAAGGAUCCAGGGAGGAAAGGGGGUUGGAAGAGCUCCAUAACCAUCUCUAUCUCUGGCCCCCUGUGGGUUUGCUGGGAAAUCGUGGUGAACCGGGCUACCAGUCUCUGUCCUCUGGGCUCCCAGGUGGGGGAAAACCCAGCCAGUAUGGGUUACACAAGCAGACCCUUCCGCACCCCAGGACCACAGAAGGCUGCCCAGAGGAAGUGAUGGGAGGCGGAGACUGAGGGAGAGAUCAAGGGGGAGGGCAGCAGGAAGGAUACACACUGAGGAACUGAAAAGAAGUUUUCUGGUAGGAACAGGCCCUGCAAAACUCCAGAAAGGAGUCUAGCCUUUAACCCAAAGGUUUUGAGAACGAGUCUCUGAUUCACUGAAUGAGGUGAAUUGCACUUUAGCAAGAUUCUGGUGGAGGUGAGGAAGAGGGCGUGGAAAGCAGGGGCAGCUCUGAGGAGGCUGUUGCUGGGCUCAGAGGGCGGUGGGGAGGCCCCACCAGGCCUGGCAGGCGGGGGGGCAGGAGGCAGACCAGAAAGGCAUUUAGGAGGCAGCAUGGUAGCGGGAGAUGGAGCCCAUGGGCUCUGGGUUAGAGCACCCGCCUGCCCUUUCCCACCUGGGCAGGGCUGCCUCCGGCUCAGGUGGGGGUUGCGGGGGAGCUGGGGGCUGAGGCCAUUGGGACGAGGAGGGACCGUGCCAGCCUGUGCCAGGCUCGCCCCCAGCCCUGCUGCCUGUGGACUGCUGAUGGUGGCCAGACUUCCUCUGGUGACUGCCCACUUCAGCGCCGGUAAUGCGCUUUCCCAGAACAACAGGGCCUGAGUCCCAGGGCCAGAACACCCUCUCCGCCUCCAGGUGGGGCUUUGGUUCCAGAGUGGCCACUGCUGCCUCUGUCUGGGCUGCUGCUUCGCAGAACCUCCCACCCCUACUCACCCCCUCCCGUCCCCCCCAUUCCACCCCCACUCUC
ensembl:lincRNA